rnacentral:misc_RNA from 1 species
GCCGGGAAGCACAUCACUUUAAGAACUGAUUUGGUGACCAGGGAUUACAGAGGGAUUGGAGGGGAUUGGGGGGAAAUUAAUUUAUUUCUCUGUCAAUGCCCUUAAUCCUCCCGUGAUCCCUUUGUCACCAAAUCAACCCUAACGUGUUCAAAAUUCUUCACUACGACGAAUCUUGUAACUGGGCUCCACGAAAUCCAGUCUGGAGCUUAUCAUAGUUUCAGCCUCCAGCUCCAAAUUUUAUGACAUCUGCUAGACUGAAAUUUUUAAACCCUCGGCCCCUAGCAGUAGCAGCGCAUGGACAUCUGCUAGACUGCUAGCAAAUACAUAACGUACGUAGAAUGUUUCCGUAGCUUAUUUAGCGUGCGGCCAGCAUUAAGCAGCGAUCGGACACAGUGCCUGACCGGCAGUCCGCCACACGCAUGGCCCCUCUCGAUUUGUUGGCAACGCCGGCCGCCGGCCGGUCAGUCAGUGGGGCCGUUGGGGCAUCCUUCCUUGUACAUGCAUGGCCGGGUGUAGGACCCACCAGAACCCUUGGUGGCGCACUGGUUGCCUUUCACGCAACCUGACGUGUUCUUGUCGAGGACGCGGUAGUCGAUACUGCCGCCGCGCUGCCGCCCGCCCCCAGCAGGCCGCCGAGCUCCGGCGCCACCUCGUCCUCCAGACGCCGGUAGUGCCGCCGCCACUUGUUACUCUGGGCACCGGCAGCGCCGCCGCCGACCCUUGUCCCGGGGCCGCUGCGGAUGAUCACCAUCCUGGCGCCGCUGUACUCAGCGGUGGCCGGGACCGCGGAUGCGACGACAACGAGCAGGAAAAGGGGGACGGCGAGAGGCAUGCUGCUGGCUGCCAGCAUCGUCGUGCACGACCGAUCGACUCGGUUGUUUCUAGGGGAACGCUGGGGUCGUCGUCCUCGUCUGGUGGUGUG